UACGUAGGGUGCGAGCGUUGUCCGGAAUUAUUGGGCGUAAAGAGCUUGUAGGUGGCUCGUUGCGUCGGGAGUGAAAACCCGCGGCUUAACCGCGGGCCUGCUUCCGAUACGGGCGGGCUAGAGUUCGGCAGGGGAGACUGGAAUCCUGGUGUAGCGGUGGAAUGCGCAGAUAUCAGGAGGAACACCGGUGGCGAAGGCGGGUCUCUGGGCCGAUACUGACACUGAGAAGCGAAAGCGUGGGGAGCGAACAGG
rnacentral:rRNA from 1 species